ACCCCCUGAGCGGUGUCGACACCUUCGUGGGAGUGGCUAGUAGAUGCUUCCUUUGGCCCCUUGGCCUCUUCAGGCGCUCAAGUCCUGGGGCUCUCCUGUUCUUUUUGGUCCUGACUUCCGCAUGACUAUCAAUCCGUCUUUCUUCCCAGGCCCAUUGCUGCACCUCGAGCUGGCUCUCCCUGCACCUCGCGUUUAGGCACCCUGUGCAGCUGCCGAACCUGCCUUCUUUCGGUGGGAGUUCAUUCUCCAGCACCCAGGGGCCCCACCGCAGCCCUUGCUCACCCCCAGUCUUGGUUCCCGUCUGCCUUGCAAGAAUGGGCUUUCGUUCGGCUCCUAACUUUCCGCAUUUUUCAGGAUCCAGGGACCCACGAUCACUUGUCUUUUGGCUUCACCACCCAAACCCAGGCAGCUCAGCUCACUGCUGUCAGAGUAUCCUCCAUCCAUCUCCUGUAUAAGGACGUGAGAUUAUAUUUGUCCCAGUUGCUUUAUUUUGGGAGGAGGGGGUGGGUACAGGGGAUGAAUCCAGGGGCAUAUAACCACUGA
rnacentral:lncRNA from 1 species